CGUGAGAUGUUGGGUUAAGUCCCGCAACGAGCGCAACCCUUGCCAUUAGUUGCCAGCAUUAAGUUGGGCACUCUAAUGGGACCGCUUGCCGAUAAGGCAGAGGAAGGUGGGGAUGACGUCAAGUCCGCAUGGCCCUUACGCCCAGGGCUACACACGUACUACAAUGGCCGGUACAGAGCGAUGCUAAGCCGCGAGGUAGAGCUAAUCGCACAAAGCCGGUCCCAGUUCGGAUAGGAGUCUGCAACUCGACUCCU
rnacentral:rRNA from 1 species